GGGGGGACCCUACCCACCUCCUCAGGGGUACCCCUAUCAAGGAUACCCACAGUAUGGCUGGCAAGGCGGACCUCAGGAGCCUCCUAAAACCACAGGAGCUGAGCCCAAGCUGGCCACAGCGGGGCAUUUGAUCUCUAAGGAGGAGCUCCAUCAGAGGCGCACCUGAGGUGUAUGUGGUGGAAGACCAAAGACGGGAUGACCUGGGCCCAUCCACCUGCCUCACAGCCUGCUGGACUGCACUCUGUUGCUGCUGUCUCUGGGACAUGCUC